GAACGCUAACGGGAGGCCUAACACAUGCAAGCCGAGCGGUAGAAGAUCUUCGGAUCUUUGAGAGCGGCGCACGGGUGCGGAACACGUGUGCAACCUACCUUUAUCAGGGGGAUAGCCUUUCGAAAGGAAGAUUAAUACCCCAUAAUAUAUUUUACGGCAUCGUAAGAUAUUGAAAACUCCGGUGGAUAGAGAUGGGCACGCGCAAGAUUAGAUAGUUGGUGAGGUAACGGCUCACCAAGUCAAUGAUCUUUAGGGGGCCUGAGAGGGUGAUCCCCCACACUGGUACUGAGACACGGACCAGACUCCUACGGGAGGCAGCAGUGAGGAAUAUUGGACAAUGGGUGAGAGCCUGAUCCAGCCAUCCCGCGUGAAGGACGACGGCCCUAUGGGUUGUAAACUUCUUUUGUAUAGGGAUAAACCUACUCUCGUGAGAGUAGCUGAAGGUACUAUACGAAUAAGCACCGGCUAACUCCGUGCCAGCAGCCGCGGUAAUACGGAGGGUGCAAGCGUUAUCCGGAUUUAUUGGGUUUAAAGGGUCCGUAGGCGGACUCGUAAGUCAGUGGUGAAAUCUCAUAGCUUAACUAUGAAACUGCCAUUGAUACUGCGGGUCUUGAGUAAAGUAGAAGUGGCUGGAAUAAGUAGUGUAGCGGUGAAAUGCAUAGAUAUUACUUAGAACACCAAUUGCGAAGGCAGGUCACUAUGUUUUAACUGACGCUGAUGGACGAAAGCGUGGGGAGCGAACAGGAUUAGAUACCCUGGUAGUCCACGCCGUAAACGAUGCUAACUCGUUUU
rnacentral:rRNA from 1 species